AACCAAUGAGUUAUAGCUCAAAUGACAUAGUCUCCCCAUACUCAACUAAGAGGUUGCGGGUUCGAGUCUCCUAUCUUUGAUAAAAAAAAAUGA